UCGGGAAUUUUGGGCAAUGGGCGAAAGCCUGACCCAGCAACGCCGCGUGAGGGAUGAAGUAUUUCGGUAUGUAAACCUCGAAAGAAUGGGAAGAAUAAAUGACGGUACCAUUUAUAAGCUCCGGCUAACUACGUGCCAGCAGCCGCGGUAAUACGUAGGGAGCAAGCGUUGUUCGGAUUUACUGGGCGUAAAGGGCGCGUAGGCGGCGCGGUAAGUCACUUGUGAAAUCUCUGCGCAUAACUCAGAACGGCCAAGUGAUACUGCUAUGCUAGCGGGCUGAAGAGGCAACCGGAAUUCUUGGGGUAGCGGUGAAAUGCGUAGAUAUCAAGAGGAACACCUGAGGCGAAGGCGGGUUGCUGGGCCGACACUGACGCUGAUGCGCGAAAGCCAGGGG
rnacentral:rRNA from 1 species